GUAUCCUUCUGCUAGAUAUUUUCUUGUCGAGAUAAUUACACCCCUAAACAUAAUUGAGUUCAAUAAUCAGAAAGGACAUAAAUAAUUAAAAAAGAUAUGAUGCAUCGUAGUCAUAUCCUAUGGUCUAGGUCCAAUCAUGUUAACUUUAUCCAAUUAAGGAUGAUCAAAUCUAAAGAUUCUCAAUCUGAUCAAGGUAGGUGCC
rnacentral:lncRNA from 1 species